UACGGGGGGAGCAAGCGUUGUUCGGAUUUACUGGGCGUGAAGGGCGCGUAGGCGGCGCAACAAGUCACUUGUGAAAUCUCCGGGCUUAACCCGGAGCGGUCAAGUGAUACUGUCGUGCUAGAGUGCGGAAGGGGCUACUGGAAUUCUCGGUGUAGCGGUGAAAUGCGUAGAUAUCGAGAGGAACACCUGCGGCGAAGGCGGGUAGCUGGGCCGACACUGACGCUGAUGCGCGAAAGCCAGGGGAGCGAACGGG
rnacentral:rRNA from 1 species